UGGGACUGAACUAAAGCUCAAGUCUGG
rnacentral:piRNA from 1 species